UCAGAGGUGAAAUCCCAGGGCUUAACCGUGGAACUGCCUUUGAUACUGUUUGUCUUGAGUUCGAGAGAGGUAAGUGGAAUUCCCAGUGUAGAGGUGAAAUUCAUAGAUAUUAGAAAGAACACCAGUGGCGAAGGCAGCUCUCUGGAUCGAUACUGACGCUGAGGUACGAAAGCGUGGGGAGCGAACAGGAUUAGAUACCCUGGUAGUCCACGCCGUAAACGAUGAGUACUAGAUGUUGGGGAUUUUUUCCGUGUCGCACCUAACGCAUUAAGCACCCCCCCUGGGGAGUACGGUCGCAAAGUUAAAACUCAAAGGAAUUGACGG
rnacentral:rRNA from 1 species